UUACAUGGUUUAUUAUAUCAUUUAAAAAGUCAAGUAUUUUACAGUAUUUUUUUCCUUUGGCAAUAGGCAAGUGAUGGAAAAUUAAGAUGGAGAAGAGCUGACGUUGGUCCUGACUCAACAUCUUCCAUGACUCAUGGAAAAUUCUCUGCAGUCUUUUAUGACACAAAAAUUCAGACUGUUAGAUGUUAUGUUUGCUACUGUAACAUGCUCUAGUUGUUUGAACAUUUGAUGAAGCCAGUGUUACUAUAUUUCUAUAAUAACUGGUUGUAAUUUAUUCAUUUCCUAUACAUUUUUAGGAUUUGUAGAGGGUCUUUCUGAUCAGAAUCAAAGAAACUGAACAUUAAAGAAGUACCAGUUGCAAGCUCAGAACAUUUUCAUCAAGACGUCAAAGAAAACUAAACUGAGGAAUGGAUGAUCUGCCUAGAAACCACCACUGUGCAAUGCCAGACUUACAAGAUGAAUUAUUUCAGAGAAACAAAAGAAAGAUGUUUCUUCAAGAAGAAGAAAUAUUUUGAUGAAUUACUGUGGUUAUCAGAGGAAAUAUCACUUCCAUUAGUACAAUGUAUGUGUCUGCAAUCUAACAAUAAAGGAUACAGAAUCCAACAAUACAGAACUGCUUUGUGUGGUUCUGAUUGUGGGUCUUUAAGGUACUGCCACUGUAAAAUGAAACAACGUGUGACGGAAUGGAGUAUGAAAAAGCAUUCUGGAGAGGAAAUGAGAGGGUGCCAGGGAGGCUUUCAGGAUUAA
rnacentral:lncRNA from 1 species